rnacentral:rRNA from 1 species
CCUACGGGAGACUGCAGUGGGGGAUAUUGCACAAUGGGGGGAACCCUGAUGCAGCGACGCCGCGUGGGUGAAGAAGCGCCUCGGCGUGUAAAGCCCUGUCAGCAGGGAAGAAAAUGACGGUACCUGAAGAAGAAGCCCCGGCUAACUACGUGCCAGCAGCCGCGGUAAUACGUAGGGGGCAAGCGUUAUCCGGAUUUACGGGGUGUAAAGGGGGCGUAGACGGUGAUGCAAGCCUGGAGUGAAAGCCCGGGGCCCAACCCCGGGACUGCUCUUGAAACUGUGUGGCUGGAGUGCAGGAGGGGCAGGCGGAAUUCCUGGUGUAGCGGUGAAAUCCGUAGAUAUCAGGAGGAACAUCAGUGGCGAAGGCGACUAUCUGGCACGUAACUGACGCUGAGGAGCGAAAGCGUGGGUAGCAAACAGGAUUAGAUACCCCUGUAGUC